AGUGAACGCUGGCGGUAGGCCUAACACAUGCAAGUCGAACGGCAGCACAGGAGAGCUUGCUCUCUGGGUGGCGAGUGGCGGACGGGUGAGGAAUACAUCGGAAUCUACUCUGUCGUGGGGGAUAACGUAGGGAAACUUACGCUAAUACCGCAUACGACCUACGGGUGAAAGCAGGGGACCUUCGGGCCUUGCGCGAUUGAAUGAGCCGAUGUCGGAUUAGCUAGUUGGCGGGGUAAAGGCCCACCAAGGCGACGAUCCGUAGCUGGGCUGAGGGGAUGAUCAGCCACACUGGAACUGAGACACGGUCCAGACUCCUACGGGAGGCAGCAGUGGGGAAUAUUGGGCAAUGGGCGCAAGCCUGAUCCAGCCAUACCGCGUGGGUGAAGAAGGCCUUCGGGUUGUAAAGCCCUUUUGUUGGGAAAGAAAUCCAGCUGGCUAAUACCCGGUCGGGAUGACGGUACCCAAAGAAUAAGCACCGGCUAACUUCGUGCCAGCAGCCGCCGUAA
rnacentral:rRNA from 1 species